rnacentral:rRNA from 1 species
CCUACGGGCGGCAGCAGUGGGGAAUAUUGCACAAUGGGGGGAACCCUGAUGCAGCGACGCCGCGUGAGUGAAGAAGUAUUUCGGUGCGUAAAGCUCUAUCAGCAGGGAAGAAAAAAGGACGGUACCUGAGUAAGAAGCCCCGGCUAACUACGUGCAAGCAGCCGAGGUAAUACGUAGGGGGCAAGCGUUAUCCGGAAUUACUGGGUGUAAAGGGAGCGUAGACGGCAAUGCAAGUCCGGAGUGGAAGGCGGCAGCUCAACUGCCGAACUGCUCUGGAAACUGUAUGGCUUGAGUGCAGGAGGGGUGAGCGGAAGUCCUGGUGUAGCGGUGAAAUGCGUAGAUAUCAGGAGGAACACCGGUGGCGAAGGCGGCUUACUGGACUGUAACUGACGUUGAGGCUCGAAAGCGUGGGGAGCAAACAGGAUUAGAUACCCGGGUAGUC